rnacentral:rRNA from 1 species
UGAGGAAUAUUGGUCAAUGGGCGAGAGCCUGAACCAGCCAAGUAGCGUGCAGGAUGACGGCCCUAUGGGUUGUAAACUGCUUUUAUAUGGGAAUAAAGUGAGGGACGUGUCCCUUAUUGCAUGUACCAUACGAAUAAGGACCGGCUAAUUCCGUGCCAGCAGCCGCGGUAAUACGGAAGGUCCAGGCGUUAUCCGGAUUUAUUGGGUUUAAAGGGAGCGUAGGCUGUUUGUUAAGCGUGUUGUGAAAUGUAGGAGCUCAACUUUUAGAUUGCAGCGCGAACUGGCAGACUUGAGUGCGCACAACGUAGGCGGAAUUCAUGGUGUAGCGGUGAAAUGCUUAGAUAUCAUGACGAACUCCGAUUGCGAAGGCAGCUUACGGGAGCGCAACUGACGCUGAAGCUCGAAGGUGCGGGUAUCGAACAGG